UAUAAAAGAGAAAGACGGGGUUAAAAAAAAGACUGGCGGUGGCCUACACAUGCAAGUCGACGGCAGCACAGGAGAGCUUGCUCUCUGGGUGGCGAGUGGCGGACGGGUGAGGAAUACAUCGGAAUCUACUUUUUCGUGGGGGAUAACGUAGGGAAACUUACGCUAAUACCGCAUACGACCUACGGGUGAAAGCAGGGGACCUUCGGGCCUUGCGCGAUUGAAUGAGCCGAUGUCGGAUUAGCUAGUUGGCGGGGUAAAGGCCCACCAAGGCGACGAUCCGUAGCUGGUCUGAGAGGAUGAUCAGCCACACUGGAACUGAGACACGGUCCAGACUCCUACGGGAGGCAGCAGUGGGGAAUAUUGGACAAUGGGCGCAAGCCUGAUCCAGCCAUACCGCGUGGGUGAAGAAGGCCUUCGGGUUGUAAAGCCCUUUUGUUGGGAAAGAAAUCCAGCUGGCUAAUACCCGGUUGGGGAUGACGGUACCCAAAGAAUAAGCACCGGGCUAACUUCGUUGCCAGCAGCCGCGGUAAUACGAAGGGGGCAAAGCGUUACUCGGAAAUUACUGGGCGUAAAGCGUGCGUAAGUGGGCCUUUUAAGUCCGUUGUGAAAGCCCUGGGGCUCACCCUGGGAACUGCCUGGAUACUGGGCAAUUAAAAUGGGGUAAAGGGGAGCGGAAUUUCUGGGGGUACAAGGAAAUGCUUACACAUCCGACGGG
rnacentral:rRNA from 1 species